UCACUUCACAUUAAUCGACGGCUCGCUAUAUGGGUCCUGCCGGUUUCGACCGGCUAUGGCGAUAAAUUGCGGUGUGCAAUAGGCACAGCGGACCCGGGGGCAGUACCCGGCGGCUCCACCAAACCCCCUGUUAUCGAGGGCUUGGUAUAGGGGGCCGAACCAGGAUCGACGUGUGUUGAAAGGCACUGUUUUCGCCCGGGCUGAGUAACCCGUUAAAGGCUCAAAAACCCACAAGUGCCAACGAUAACGAAGCACUCGCUCUCGCUGCGUAAUUCUAGGGGCUAACGCCCUGACGUUACAAAGCUAAAGCGCGGUUGGACCCACCGGGCAACAGAAGGGAUUCCGG
rnacentral:tmRNA from 1 species